rnacentral:rRNA from 1 species
UGCAUAUCCCAAAAGCGGAGGAAAAGAAACCAACAGGGAUUGCCCUAGUAACGGCGAGUGAAGCGGCAACAGCUCAAAUUUGAAAGCUGGCUCCGGCCCGCAUUGUAAUUUGCAGAGGAUGCUUCUGGUGAGGUGCCUUCCGAGUUCCCUGGAACGGGACGCCAUAGAGGGUGAGAGCCCCGUAUGGAUGGACACCAAACCUGUGUGAAGCUCCUUCAACGAGUCGAGUAGUUUGGGAAUGCUGCUCUAAAUGGGAGGUAAAUCUCUUCUAAAGCUAAAUACCGGCCAGAGACCGAUAGCGCACAAGUAGAGUGAUCGAAAGAUGAAAAGCACCUUGAAAAGGGGGUUAAACAGUACGUGAAAUUGUUGAAAGGGAAGCGCUUGUGACCAGACUUGCGCCGGGCAGCUCAUCAGGGGUUCUCCCCUGUGCACUCUGCCCGGCUCAGGCCAGCAUCGGUUCUCGUGGGAGGAUAAGAACGGUAGGAACGUGGCCCCCUUCCGGGGGGGUGUUAUAGCCUACCGUACGAUACUCCCGUGGGGACCGAGGUUCGCGCUCCGCAAGGAUGCUGGCGUAAUGGUCAUCAGCGACCCGUCUUGACACCGGACCAAGCG